CACGUCAGCGUGCUUUGCUGAUGUGGCAACAAAUCUCCCCCUCGAGGACGCGAUUUGUUGCCACGUCAGCAAAGCGCGCUGACGUGG
rfam:Gossypium hirsutum cultivar TM-1 chromosome 18, whole genome shotgun sequence